CCUACGGGUGGCAGCAGUCGAGAAUCAUUCACAAUGGGGGAAACCCUGAUGGUGCGACGCCGCGUGGGGGAAUGAAGGUCUUCGGAUGGUAAACCCCUGUCAUGUGGGAGCAAAUUAAAAAGAUAGUACCACAAGAGGAAGAGACGGCUAACUCUGUGCCAGCAGCCGCGGUAAUACAGAGGUCUCAAGCGUUGUUCGGAAUCACUGGGCGUAAAGCGUGCGUAGGCUGUUUCGUAAGUCGUGUGUGAAAGGCGCGGGCUCAACCCGCGGACGGCACAUGAUACUGCGAGGCUAGAGUAAUGGAGGGGGAACCGGAAUUCUCGGUGUAGCAGUGAAAUGCGUAGAUAUCGAGAGGAACACUCGUGGCGAAGGCGGGUUCCUGGACAUUAACUGACGCUGAGGCACGAAGGCCAGGGGAGCGAAAGGGAUUAGAUGCCCUUGUAGUC
rnacentral:rRNA from 1 species